AAGGGAUUCCGCAACAAAAUGGACACAAUCUCCAUUCGCGAAGGCUUGGCUUCCCGUUCUCCAGUGUGCAACGUGCGCUCCACAGAUCUCUGACAGUAGAUGGCAUACUUGCCUAUUUCACUCCUAAUCCCAGGGUGUUGUUUGAUAUACCAGAGGAAGUGGUGCUGAGGAAGAAAGAGAGGAGCACACAAAGCCAGGAGCUGCCAGCACUGUGAAGAGAAACGGGCCAUCAGCAAACUAAGUGCUGCUAUUGGAGAAGA